UCUGGAACUUUUAUCGUGCAGCCCGUUUAGUCAGUCCACUGCUGGCGAUGUCACGACGUUACCAUCCGCGUGUCUCACAGAGUUGUCCUGGUGGGCCCUCAAGUACUUGUCCUCCCAGGCUGACGGCGACGGCGAGAGGGGAGCGCCCUCGGUGGGCUCGGCGUCGUCCAGCGACCGGAACGAGUGGCGCCCGGCGACGCACGGCGCCGCCCGUCCCCACGCCGAAGACGCCGACACGACUCUCGACGAGAGCAUCCCAGAGGACGACACGCGCGCGAGCGGCGUGGCCCAGGGGCGGCCCUGGCGGAGGGGACGGCACGUGGAGGCGCAGGAGCAACGCUCGGCCGCCGCGCAGAAGCCUCCCCCCUACGCGGAGGACAGGUCGAUUGUACUUCAAUCCUGUCCGCUUACUGGCCGCUAUAAUGGUCAGGGGCACCUGGACUUGCGAUCCAGAGGUCGCCGGUUCGAUCUCCCGGCCACGGCAGUUGUAACGUUGGCAAGUUUUAUUUUUAAGUCCCCCUCUCCUGCUGCUCCUCCCCACCCCCCGUGGCCUUUGACGCCGCAGUCGAUCGGCAGGUCGCGUACGGCGGGGUAAAUUGUGGGUACUUCCACCUCAUCCACGGUGACGAGGACCAAGCGCCCCCUAUAGGGGGGCUC